ACUUUCCAAAAAUGAACCCAUGUGUAUUCACAUACAUUCUAUACAUUCACUUUUAUACCAACAAAUUAAAGCAGGGAAGCAAAACAUCAAAGUGACAAUUUCUUUUGAUCAAGCACUAGAAAUUGGAUUUAUUGGAAGUCCACAUCUGCUCAUCCGAUACAUAUGAAUGGAUUUCAUCAGAGCACCUUUAGGUAAUGCCAGACACUUAAGGGAAAUGAGAUGAUUUCUCUCAAUUUCUGUGCAAUUUUUUUUUUUUUAAUAAUAACUGCCCUUUUCCUUUCACAAUGAUUGGUAGUUAUGUCUCCGAUUUGACAUAUCUUUCUAAAUCUUUAUCGGUUCAACUUUUGAAAUUUGGGGAUUCAAUUCUUGGAAAAGUUGCUUCUCUCAGGCUUCCAGGCCACUCCGGCUGUGCAAAUUUAACUUCUAUCGUGAUGGAAAUUAGGGGAAAUCCCUUGGUCUUCAGUUAUCCUUCAACCUUUAACAUUAUCCCGUCUAGAUCAUCGAGCAUUGAGAGCCGUUAACCUUCUUAGAUUGGCCUAGUGACGCCAUUUGCUCAUAUUGCAUUGUGUGACGUGCUUCAACACGCACGCACGCACACACACACACCCCCCCCGUUGUCAGGGCACGCACGUAUUUGCCAAAACAUGCUGCUGUCUUUUUCCCCAACAUGAGUGCCUGUCAACUCUCCAGAAAUCUGCGAUGUCUCCAGAUUUGUUCCCUCGAUGGGAAACUUUCUGUUUGUGUGGCAUGUUUUGUUGGUGUUUUGCGUGUAAAAUGACACUGACGUGACACGGCCAGUGUGUAUGUUUGCCCAUAAAGGAUGGAGUUUCAUGUCAUCCAUCUCCCCUGAAGGAGGAGAGAAGUAGUCGAGAGGAAAAAGUGGCUGAGGAAGAAAAAAAAUGGCACGCAAGAGGUACAUGGCUAAGCAGUGCCAGGUUACCAGGCUUAUUGAAGUAAAAUGCAUGCAACAAUAAAUGUUGCCAGCCCUCGGAAUGAAGUGGACAAGUCUCAAAUUAAGCGACAUUUCAAGGAAAGAGGAAAAUUCUUCAAUUAGACUCAUGAGGCCUCACAAAGAUGCCACCAGUUCAGCGAGCGGCACCCAUUGGAAGUCCACCUGCUUUUCCUGGCCCCAUCCUGCUGUCGCCGACGUCUAUGCCUCCAAGAGGAGCUGCUUUCAUCUCCACCGAGUUUGACCCGACCAAGUUGGCACCGAGUAGUGUAAAACACCCGGAGGACUCCAUCCAGGACUCUAUAGGAGACACAGGCAUGCCUUUGGAUAUGUGCGCCGACCACCAGCUGGGUUCUCCCACAGCACCGGUGAUGACCCUGCCGGGCACGGGAGUCAUGCAGGGUUCCAGACUGGGCAUGCCCCCUCUGCAGCCUCCCCCCAACAUGCCGAAUCCUCAUCUACCUCCUUUCCUCUCGCCUCCAAACAUGUCGCACAAUCACCCGCAAAUGAUGCCCGGACGGCCCGUGUUUUCUCCGGAGAGGUUCAGGAUGCCCAUGCCCUUUCCGCCUCGCGGCCCUCCUUUCCAUCGGCAUCUCUCCAUGGGACCAGACGGCAUGCACGACAGGGAAGGGAUGCAUUUCAGAAACGGGAGAGCAGGGUUUGGGUGCCCGCCCUUCCAGAGAGGGAGGUGGUAGAAGCAGGCAGAAUGACAGACCUGAGGGGAGAGGCGUCGGGAUCACUGUGACGGAUCAGUAUCACGACAUCUGGUUCAACAAGGAACUGCUGUAAAUAAUUGAGGGUGCUUAGACUUCUUUUAGUACCGCACCCUUUUCUUACCGUCACAUGAACAAUCACACAGACAGUGUUCUGAAUGUGAUCCACGCACCUCCAAGUUCACCAGAGGAGAGACCUUUUGUUGUAAAUACUGUACAUGCUCGUAGCUGUUUGCUAUCUUUUUGUAUAUUUGAAGUGUGUAGUUCAUGCUGAAGUCUAAUCUUAGUAGUUGGAGGGGAAAAAACAAAGGCAACGUCUGUAUUUUUGAGCGUAUUCCCUUUACCAUAGUUUUUGUCUAAGGAAGGAGACUGAAAAUCUAUAAUUCAAUCACCGUUUUGGUAUUUAGUUUUUAGCGAAAUGGCUUUUGUAACACACUAAUGUUUAAUUCCUGAGUUAAGAAGUUUGAUUUCAUUUGAAGUGGAAGAUUCAUGUCCUGCCAGCAGAGGGUAGUGUAAACCCUGUUACCGCGGCCAACCCCUGUUGUACAUUAAGGUCACACCUUGUAACUCGCAUUGAAAAUUAAAAAAAGGUUUCAAUUUGA
ensembl:lncRNA